rnacentral:lncRNA from 1 species
UUGAAUCCAACCCAAACCAGUCUAAUUACGGGUCCAAUUGGCCCUUAACAUGGUUAAUGGGAUUACCUCCUAAACCUAACCCUAAUUAUGUGCUAACUUUGAUUCUUAAGGCAUACAAUAAAUAAAACAAGCCCGGUAAGUCUAAGUUUCUUUCGGCGAUCUUCCGGUGGACUUCCGAUGAUCUCUCGGUAAUCUUCCAACGGACUUCCGGUAAGCUCCUGGAC